AAGUCGUAACAAGGUAACCGUAGGUGAACCUGCGGUUGGAUCAUUACCAAUCCCAACCCCCCAGGAGGAGGGGGUGGUGAGUUGGGGUGGGUUGCUUGCAACUUUCCCCGCCGCCGCCUCCCUCUCCUACACCCCAUGUGCAACUUUCCUGUACUUGGCGGGCGCCUCCCCCCUCUUUCCAAGGCGGGGGGCCUCGCGGGUCGUGUCGUGCGCGGCAAACUUGCCACGCCGCACGCCUGACCGCCAGCCACCUUACAACACUUGCAACUUUUAUACUUACCUACUUACUCACAAAGUGGCAAGUGUUGUCUUCCCCCCCCCUCUCCUUACGGGGAAGGGCAAGGACAGCACACUGCCCAGCUAAUUGAGAAACAACUUUUGACAACGGAUCUCUUGGCUCUC
rnacentral:misc_RNA from 1 species